GUGCUCGCUUCAACAGCACAUGUACUAAAAUUGGAACCAUACAGAGAAGAUUAGCAUAGCCCCUGCGCAAGGAUGACACGCAAAUUCAUGAAGCGUUCCAUAUUUUU
rnacentral:snRNA from 1 species